rnacentral:rRNA from 1 species
GACGAACGCUGGCGGCGUGCUUAACACAUGCAAGUCGAACGGAAGGGCCCUGCUUUUGUGGGGUGCUCGAUUGGCGAACGGGUGAGUAACACGUGAGUAACCUGCCCUUGACUUUGGGAUAACUUCAGGAGACUGGGGCUAAUACCGGAUAGGAGCUCCUGCUGCAUGUUGGGGGUUGGAAAGUUCCGGCGGUUGGGGAUGGACUCGCGGCUUAUCAGCUUGUUUGUGGGGUAGUGGCGUACCAAGGCUUUGACGGGUAGCCGGCAUGAGAGGGUUGCCGGCCACAUUGGGACUGCGAUACGGCCCAGACUCCUACGGGAGGCAGCAGUCGGGAAUCUUGCACAAUGGGCGGAAGCCUGAUGCAGCAACGCCGCGUGCGGGAUGAUGGCCUUCGGGUUGUAAACCGCUUUCGCCUGUGCCGAAGAGUGAGUGACGGUAAUGGGUAAAGAAGCACCGGCUAACUACGUG